GUUAUUAGUGGUUCAGGUAGGAAUGAUUGGGGUUCCCAACUUUGACUAUCAACCAGGUGUCCGAGUCCCCUCUGUAGCC
rnacentral:tRNA from 2 species